rnacentral:rRNA from 1 species
AUGUACAGUAAGAAAGUAGAGUGCAGCAGAGUUACAUAUGUACUAUGUUGUCUAUGGCUGAGGGAUAUCGAGGUCCGACGGCGACGGGGGGCGGCGGGCGGCCCUCCAGCGGGCGGCCUGGAGCAGCACGGCGUUGGCGCAGAUGGCGACGCCGAAGCCGGCGAAGGCGGAGAGGAUGAUGGCGAUGACGGCCUGGAGGUUGACGUAGCGGUAGAAGAGGUGGGUGAAGAGGACGACGAGCAGGAACUGCAGCGCCGAGUAGGCCCACACGUAGCACCGGGAGGAGGCCAUCCCGGCGGUGGUGAGCGCGGAGAAGGUGCCGAGCACGACGGCGAAGGGCACGGAGACGGCCAGCGCCGCCGCCGCGUUGCCGUGGUCGCCCACCAGCAGCUGCUCCAGGAAGCAGAAGUAUGCCAGCAUGCUGACCGUCACCAGGAUCACCGUGCCGUGCCGCCACACCCCUCUGUUGAAUCCUCGCCGUGCUGUUCCUCCUUCUUCUUGGCUGCCGGUGCCAUUGUCGCCGGCGGCGACGGGAGGAGGAGGGGGAGGGGCGGCGACGCGGCGGAGGGUGACGGGGAGGUUGAGGACGUCGUGGCCGCAGACGUCGCAGUUGGGGUUGCCCUUGAUGCCGAACCACUUGAGCGCGCAGCGGCGGUGCGCCAGCGCCAGCUCGCCCUUGCACCGGCACUCCAGCUUCACGCCACCAUGCAGAUCCGGCACACCGCCUCCUCCUCCCCCACCUCCUCUUCUUCCGACGGUGAUGGCGAAGAGGGCGGCGACGACGAUUCCGGCAAUGGCGCGGGCGCCGCCGACGACAGCGACGACACCCGGAACCGGCGCAGGGAGCUCGAGUCCGCCACCCGCUUCCUGCUGCCAUGA